UAAAUAGCUAAAUUCAGAACCAGAAUCAUCCCCUUUAUUUCUACCCUUUUUUUGAACAUAACCAAAAUAAAACCCAACCACAGAUCAAUUAUUAUGAAAAUUCACAUUUCGUCAAAAUAAGAGUGCAAGGGUCCUAGAGAAUGUAAGAAAUACACAGGUAUAAGAAGGGGAACCAGAAUCAUCCCCUUUAUUUCUACCCUUUUUUUGAACAUAACCAAAAUAAAACCCAACCACAGAUCAAUUAUUAUGAAAAUUCACAUUUCGUCAAAAUAAGAGUGCAAGGGUCCUAGAGAAUGUAAGAAAUACACAGGUUUAAGAAGGGGGAGAAAAAGUGAAGUAACUUAUCUCACAUACAAUGCAACAACUUUAUUUCUAUCUCAAACAUAAACAGAAUCUGCUUCAGGUUCGCCCGUCAACAAAUUUGACAUGAUAAUAUUUGACAAUCAUUGCCACAAAAUA
rnacentral:lncRNA from 1 species